UUCAUAAGUAAAACUUUAUUGAAAAACUGACACCAAAAUAGGAGAUCAUUGUUGUAGACUUUAUAAAAUCAAACAAUAAUUACAUUGUCUUGGUAGAGUAACUAAAGUUGAUAAGGCUUUCUGUGAAAAACACGAAUUCAGGAACUUGUAUAGAUGAUUAGUGUUGCUUUCUUCUAAAUGAACAGCCUGCAAAGGAAUCAGGAGAGCGCAUUAAACAUCUUACGCUUUAUCCAUGGCGUGAUUUAGUGGCAAAAAGUACUUUAUAAAUAAAGUUUUAGAAAUCUUAGAUUAGAUGCAGGAAUGUUAGAUUUUAAAUAGAAAACAAGUUUCUGCGUAUUAUGAUUGAUAUAAAUUUGCUGUAGUAACUGUUGUAUGGGUUUAUUCUGACAUAAACACAAUGAUCACUGUUUUCAAAUUAUACCAUGGAGUCUACCUAAGACCAUAAACUAAACUCAACAGUUCAAACUGUUUUGGAGAUUCUUAUUCCCUAAUUCCUCAGUCUCUUUCCUCUUCAGUCUCCCAAAACAGUAACUUUGUCUAGAGUUCUCAGAUGUUUGAACUCUGCCACGGAGACUAUCUGCUAGCAUAUGCACACAAGCUUCCAAUGGCAUGGCAUGAGAACAAGUCCCAGCAACACUCCAAGUGCACAUUAACUACAGCAUUGCUCUCAUGUGUCACGUUUCUGUAUGCGGAAAUGUGGAAUGUAUAUGUGGGAGAGAAAGAGAGGGAGAGGGUUUCUCUGUGCAGCCCUGGCUGUCCUGUAAGUCACUACAUAGACCAGGCUGGCUUUGAACUCAGAUCUACCUGCGUCUACCUUGAACAGUGAGGUUAAAGGCCCGUGCCACUACACCCCCAAUUCUUAUGUUGACUUUGGACUC
rnacentral:lncRNA from 1 species